rnacentral:piRNA from 1 species
UGGGAACNCCAGAAGUGCUGAUUGCCCAGC